AAACUGGGUCUAAUACCGGGAUAGGACUCCUGGCUUCAUGGUUGGGGGUGUAAAGCUUUUGCGGUGUGGGAUGGGCCCGCGGCCUAUCAGCUUGUUGGUGGGGUAAUGGCCUACCAAGGCGACGACGGGUAGCCGGCCUGAGAGGGUGACCGGCCACACUGGGACUGAGAUACGGCCCAGACUCCUACGGGAGGCAGCAGUGGGGAAUAUUGCACAAUGGCGCAAGCCUGAUGCAGCGACGCCGCGUGAGGGAUGACGGCCUUCGGGUUGUAAACCUCUUUCAAUAGGGACGAAGCGCAAGUGACGGUACCUAUAGAAGAAGGACCGGCCAACUACGUG
rnacentral:rRNA from 1 species